rnacentral:pre_miRNA from 1 species
UUUUUAGUAAAAAUAUGUCCCACAUAAUAUUUGGGAUAUAAUUAUACUAAAU